ACAAUAUGGUUGCCUUCACAACUCGUGUGAGAUCCAAGCUAAAUAUGUAUGGUGAUGGGGAGUCUAGAGAUGAAGAUCUCUCAAAUGAAGACGUUGUUGAAGCCUACAGGUUAUUGUACCUUAAGUGGAAAGAGGAAUGCAUAUCUAGGGAGAAACAAAGAGUUAAGAUCAGUGUUCUGCUUCAAGACAAAGUAAAUCUUACUAAAACUAUCACCUAGUUAAAAUAAUAAGUUGUACACCUAAACUCUAAGCUUGAAGUUAUAACCAAAUCA
rnacentral:lncRNA from 1 species